UUUUUGUUAAAAAUUAGUAUAGUAUUAAAUUAAAACAGCUAAUUGGCUUUUGAUAUUUAUGUCGUUGAAAUAGUUUAAGUGCAAUUAUCAAUUCACGUUUAAAAAACAGAACUUAUAUAUACAUAUUCUUAUUGCUAUUUCACUUAGGUGAUAGCUAAAAACCAGGCAAAUAGCAAACAUUUUCAACAAAAGUCAAAGCUUUGAAUUCAUAAUUAAUAAUAAAAUCAUUAUAAAAUCUAAUACAUCGACUAGAUUUCAAUGUUUCAGUUUUUAUUCUUCUAAAUUACAUACAUAUAUACACAUUUAAAACUAAAAUAGCGUAUCCUCCGAUCUUAUGUACUCGCCAAUAUCUGACUGAUGAAAGCAAACGAUGGUCAUUGGAUCUGCAGUCUUACAUUCCGUUGUGGAACGUGCCAACACACCGAAACCUAAAGACCAGAUUUUGGUAUGUGAUUGCCAUAAAGAUACUGUUGCUCAAAUGAUGGUUUCACCCAGACUUUAUACUGUGCGUAAGGUGCCAAAUAGUACAGAGCCGUGAUAUGAAACUUCAGUUUAUUUGUUUUUGAAAACUUGCCAAAACAUGUGCCAACACAAAUAAGCUUUUCGGGACCAAAGCACUCGGAGAGUUUCAAUAUACGUUCAGAUACAUAAUAAACGCGAUCCCUGUGCUCACGGAAGCAGUACGUGCCGUCCGGACGAUCUAUCAGUUGCUUUACAUUGGUGCCAAUACUAGAAAUUCAAUUGAUACUUGUUAUUAUUGUUUUAUUACGGUAUUCGUAUCUACUCACUAUUUCGACAACUUUUCGAAAAGAAUCUUUGCCCGUUCGUCACCUAAUCUCUUCAUUAUGAAUAAGGAACGUAAAUUAAUUAAAUAAAAGGUUGAAAUAGAAGUUUAAUAUAUAAAAAUUGUGCAGACCGAAACGUGAAGUUGUUUUGACACACGUGCACAAUGUUUAUGUACAGUACGUAUAAAAAAUUGUAUGUUUUGUUGCCACUAGUUGGAAAUAACUCGGAUACAGUAAAUAACUAAAAAUUCUUUAAAUAAAGCUUAUUUUAAAAUUA